UAUCAACGUAAGCCGUCCCCCAUUGGCGAAAGCAAAUUCAGCAUUGCCACAAGGAUUGGAAUUUAAUGGAUGAACCAAUUGCUGCAAUCACUCAUGAGAGGAGUCAAUGAAAAAAAUUCACGACUUCGCAUCUAGCUUCUACUUUUGGUAGUAAAGGUGCCAAGAAAUUUAAUUUCCAAGAGAGGAAGGCAGAGAAGGUGACACAUUGAGACGCCCUCAAGAAAUUCUUUAAGGAUGGCUGUAAGUACUUUACAAGCAGUAUGAUAUAUUCUUAAGAAAAACAAUCUUCCAUUGCCUGGUCAUACUUCUUGCAAUACUUGCAAUUACCCUAAAUAUUUCUUCUUUGGCUUCAUAUGUUGAUACAAGGUGAGAAAUAUUUCACUUUGUUGGGUGUUGAGCUCCCUUCCUAUAUAGAGAAAAGGUCUAAAAGUUUGGUUAACCCACUUUGACUCACUCCUCAUAAGUGAAGGGGCUGCUAUGUCAGAUUAGUGAGGGGGCAAAGGGUUUGCACACAGAGAGCAAAAAAACGCAGCUUGGGAGAGAAAAUGCUGCAGAAUUUUUCACCGUGCAGCCUCUGUAAAACGGUGAUUCCGGAUUCACCCUUAGAUUAGGCUGAAACUUUGACAAAAAGGUUCGCACCACAUGGUUUUCAUU
rnacentral:sRNA from 1 species